rnacentral:misc_RNA from 1 species
UCGUACUCAUAGUCUUUUAUGAUUAAACCUUUUGUGAACCAAAAAACCUUUACGCUUCGGCAGCAGGCUUGCGGGUUGGGCUGUAACAGGCCCGCCCCCAAACCGUCAGCCUGCCGGCAGCACUUUAUACAAAACCUGUUUAAAAACAUGUCUGAACAGAAUCAUUUUCGAAUGAAAAUUA